CUCCCCUUUCCUAGGGGAUUGUGGGAAGGGGUGGGCGAGGCUCAGGGUAUUUGAGUCCCAGUCCCCUGGCAGGGAGCUCAUUCGGCUCCAGGACCGCUUCGGUGAUGGUUCUCUGUCGCUCCUUCGGCAGCCGGCAGGUUUUGAGCCGUUUAAGCUACGUGGGCAGCCGUCUUAGGAGAAGCCGAGGAGUCCCUUUGAGGUGGUGACGGGGAAAGUGACAACUGCAGGAAGAUCACCGUUAGCCCACGUCGUGUUUUCCUCUGUUGAAGAUGGAUUUGGUCUCUCAGCCCUCUAAAAAUGCAGAGGGACAACUUGGCACGAAAGAGCGACGGAGGAGGCGAGCCGAGCGCCGUAAGCAAGCAGGUGCGAAGCAAAGUGGAAAGCUGGGUAUCGGCAGCGCAGCUCCUCUGGCAAGAUGUUGAAGAGGAACCCAGCGAUGCAGGAAGAUCCCUGUUAGCGCGUGUGGCGUUUUCUUCGUCGAAGAUGGGUUAGGUCCCUCGGCCCUCUGAAAGCUAAGUGGAGGCACGGGGGCUGGGAAGGGGCUGGGAAUCGCAGGGUUGGGGUUAAGUUCUGAUAAGGGCCGUCCAGGAACAGUUCCCCUUGGGUGGGUAAAGUGUCUGGGGACCUUUACAGUGUGAUGCCAGGGUGUGGCGGGCAGGGCAGCUCCAGCCUCUGUCUGCAUUGUGUAGUUUGGGAAGCCUGUCUCGUGACUGUCCGAUGAUCCUGGGGUCUCGUUGCGCUCCAGGCGCACAGCAUGUAUCUCGGGUGCCAUCCCGGGAUCUGGAAUGCCAGUGCCAAUUGGCUUGGUGUCAAUUGGGUCCUGGAUUCUUGUAUCAUCAGCCGAAAGUGUGGGUAGUGGUUUCAUUUUUCAUGUUUCUGGUCAGUUGUGGUUUACGGUGUAGUUCUGGGCCGCAUCAUCAGCGGUUGUGCUCUGUAUGCAUCCAGUCUAUGGGACUGGCACUUUAAGAUGCUGGGAAGAAGUUCUUAGUUUUGCAGCAGCCUUGCGUGUUUGUGCCAGUGCCACCAUUUCUUAAGGGGCCGUGAUGUUGGGCUCUUAUUUUUUUCUGGGGUUGCAGUAGAGACUCCUUGCCUCACUGCUGCCUCUCUGCAGUUUCUUUUGAUUGAUGUAGUCU